UUCUUGGUCAUUUAGAGGAAGUAAAAGUCGUAACAAGGUUUCCGUAGGUGAACCUGCGGAAGGAUCAUUAAAGAAAUUUAAUAAUUUUGAAAAUGGAUUUUUUUGUUUUGGCAAGAGCAUGAGAGCUUUUACUGGGCAAGAAGACAAGAGAUGGAGAGUCCAGCCGGGCCUGCGCUUAAGUGCGCGGUCUUGCUAGGCUUGUAAGUUUCUUUCUUGCUAUUCCAAACGGUGAGAGAUUUCUGUGCUUUUGUUAUAGGACAAUUAAAACCGUUUCAAUACAACACACUGUGGAGUUUUCAUAUCUUUGCAACUUUUUCUUUGGGCAUUCGAGCAAUCGGGGCCCAGAGGUAACAAACACAAACAAUUUUAUCUAUUCAUUAAAUUUUUGUCAAAAACAAGAAUUUUCGUAACUGGAAAUUUUAAAAUAUUAAAAACUUUCAACAACGGAUCUCUUGGUUCUCGCAUCGAUGAAGAACGCAGCGAAAUGCGAUACGUAAUGUGAAUUGCAGAAUUCCGUGAAUCAUCGAAUCUUUGAACGCACAUUGCGCCCCUUGGUAUUCCAGGGGGCAUGCCUGCUUGAGCGUCAUUUCCUUCUCAAACGUUCUGUUUGGUAGUGAGUGAUACUCUUUGGAGUUAACUUGAAAUUGCUGGCCUUUUCAUUGGAUGUUUUUUUUCCAAAGAGAGGUUUCUCUGCGUGCUUGAGGUAUAAUGCAAGUACGGUCGUUUUAGGUUUUACCAACUGCGGCUAAUCUUUUUUUAUACUGAGCGUAUUGGAACGUUAUCGAUAAGAAGAGAGCGUCUAGGCGAACAAUGUUCUUAAAGUUUGACCUCAAAUCAGGUAGGAGUACCCGCUGAACUUAAGCAUAUCAAUAAGCGGAGGAA
rnacentral:rRNA from 1 species